AUUGAACGCUGGCGGCAUGCCUUACACAUGCAAGUCGAACGGCAGCACGGGAGCAAUCCUGGUGGCGAGUGGCGAACGGGUGAGUAAUACAUCGGAACGUGCCCAGUAGUGGGGGAUAACCCGGCGAAAGCCGGACUAAUACCGCAUACGACCUACGGGUGAAAGCGGGGGAUCGCAAGACCUCGCGCUAUCGGAGCGGCCGAUGUCAGAUUAGCUUGUUGGGGGGUAAAAGCCCACCAAGGCGACGAUCUGUAGCUGGUCUGAGAGGACGACCAGCCACACUGGGACUGAGACACGGCCCAGACUCCUACGGGAGGCAGCAGUGGGGAAUUUUGGACAAUGGGCGCAAGCCUGAUCCAGCCAUGCCGCGUGCGGGAAGAA
rnacentral:rRNA from 1 species